UUCAGAAUGGAUAACUUUAAUAAAUAAUAAUAAAAACAUCACACACCAAAGUGAAAUAACCAUUUCGUAAACAUCAUAUUAGUAUUUAAGCAUAAGGACAGGCAGGUAGACCGAUAAAACCCAUAAAUUGGCUCCCAGCAAGUGACAAACUGAACCUGCAUAUACUGGGAAGGAAGCACUGAAUACACUUACUCCAGUUCAUGCUACUUUACUGAGAGCAAGUUUUGGCUCCCAAAAUGGAGUCCGGACAGGACAAAAUGGCUGCCACCAUGUUCAGCAAAUUCAGAACCAUCACCUCUUAUUCCUUGCUCAUUUUAACAGAUAUACCUGCAGGACUGGAGGAGUAGAUGGCAGCUGCAGAGAUAAGAAAAGAAGAGUCGUUUCAUUGCCUGGAGAAGUCACUUCCGGAUUUGCAUGGAGAAGCCAUUUUCAAUGGACCCCAGCUUACAGAAGCACUCAGCUAUGCUGAGUAGGAGAGUACUUUGGAGGCAUCAGUCUUCUGUAAGAGAACAGUCCCCUGGAAGAAUCCUCUUAUCUGAAGAGCUGUCCGGUCCAAGGCUUAUAUUAAGAUAAUGAAACCUAAGAAGGAGAGUGUUGACGUUUCCCAUCAGUAGUCAGGCUGCUUGCCAGAGGACGUGAGAAACUGAGCAGACUUGGCCAGAAGCUCUUAUGAAAGAAGAGCGUUUUCUCAUGAUGGAUAUGCUGAGAAAGACCUCUUUGCCCCAGAAAGCAACCUAGAGGAAGCAGAGGGCAGGAUAAGCAGCUGGAGUUUCCAGGCUGUUUCCAGAGGCCAACCAGUUUCCAUCUUGCCUGGGCUUUCACCUCCUCUUCUAGUUGAGGACUGCAAUGGGCAUUAGAGUUCUUUUAAAAAGUAUCUUGAAUGUUGGAAAAGAUUGGCGAAUGUUGGAAUAGAUUGGAAUAGAUUGGACAAAAUACAGAUAUCUUAGACCAGAAGUCCUUCCUCCAGGUGGGGUAGCUGUGCUGGUGGUGCACUCCCCUACUCCAGGUUUGAAAUCCAUGCUGCCAGGUGCAGAAAUUGAGAACGGAAGGAUUUAUAAAAUCACCGCAAAGGAAAGCGGAGAACAACACAGAAAAGGAAGAAGGUGGAUUGCCUCACCACUACUCACUUUAAA